rnacentral:rRNA from 1 species
AUUGAACGCUGGCGGCAGGCCUAACACAUGCAAGUCGAACGGUAACAGGAAGCAGCUUGCUGCUUCGCUGACGAGUGGCGGACGGGUGAGUAAUGUCUGGGAAACUGCCUGAUGGAGGGGGAUAACUACUGGAAACGGUAGCUAAUACCGCAUAACGUCGCAAGACCAAAGAGGGGGACCUUAGGGCCUCUUGCCAUCGGAUGUGCCCAGAUGGGAUUAGCUAGUAGGUGGGGUAACGGCUCACCUAGGCGACGAUCCCUAGCUGGUCUGAGAGGAUGACCAGCCACACUGGAACUGAGACACGGUCCAGACUCCUACGGGAGGCAGCAGUGGGGAAUAUUGCACAAUGGGCGCAAGCCUGAUGCAGCCAUGCCGCGUGUAUGAAGAAGGCCUUCGGGUUGUAAAGUACUUUCAGCGGGGAGGAAGGGAGUAAAGUUAAUACCUUUGCUCAUUGACGUUACCCGCAGAAGAAGCACCGGCUAACUCCGUA